rnacentral:rRNA from 1 species
GACGAACGCUGGCGGCGUGCUUAACACAUGCAAGUCGAACGGAGAGGCCCUGCUUGCAGGGUACUCGAGUGGCGAACGGGUGAGUAACACGUGGGUGAUCUGCCCUGCACUUCGGGAUAAGCCUGGGAAACUGGGUCUAAUACCGGAUAGGAGCCAUUUUUAGUGUGAUGGUUGGAAAGUUUUUUCGGUGUAGGAUGAGCUCGCGGCCUAUCAGCUUGUUGGUGGGGUAAUGGCCUACCAAGGCGGCGACGGGUAGCCGGCCUGAGAGGGUGGACGGCCACAUUGGGACUGAGAUACGGCCCAGACUCCUACGGGAGGCAGCAGUGGGGAAUAUUGCACAAUGGGCGCAAGCCUGAUGCAGCGACGCCGCGUGGGGGAUGACGGCCUUCGGGUUGUAAACUCCUUUCGCUAGGGACGAAGCUUUUGUGACGGUACCUAGAUAAGAAGCACCGGCUAACUACGUGCCAGCAGCCGCCGUAA